rnacentral:rRNA from 1 species
AACGAACGCUGGCGGCAUGCCUAACACAUGCAAGUCGAACGAGACCUUCGAGUCUAGUGGCGCACGGGUGCGUAACGCGUGGGAACCUGCCCUUAGGUUCGGAAUACCUCCCCGAAAGGGGUGCUAAUACCGGUUAAUGUCUUCGGACCAAAGAUUUAUCGCCUUUGGUUGGGCCCGGGUUGGAUUCGCUAGUUGGUAGGGUAAAAGCCUACCAAGGCGACGUUCCUUAGCUGGUCUGAGAGGAUGACCAGCCACACUGGGACUGAGACACGGCCCAGACUCCUACGGGAGGGAGGAGAGGGGAAUAUUGGACACUGGGCGAAAGCCUGAUCCAGCAAUGCCGGGGGAGUGAUGAAGGCCUUAGGGUUGUAAAGCUCUUUUACCCGGGAUGAUAAUGACAGUACCGGGAGAAUAAGCUCCGGCUAACUCCGUG